rnacentral:lncRNA from 10 species
UGGCAGCAUAAGAAAAAGAAGAAAAAAAGUGCAUAGAAUUCUGCCUUGAACAUCACUGUCCACGGGCUGCCUUCAAAAGACAGAAGGGCUCUACCACGGAAUGCCUGUUUCAGAUUUAAAAAAUAACCUGCUGAGAUAUGCUGGCAGGGCUUCCUUCAGCAGCCACAAGAAGCUUCUCAGGUGAGAAGAAACCCACUGCUGUUAGCACUAUAGAUUUCUUUAAGGUCACAGGCCUCUUCCAAUUAGGGGUAUCAUCCAUCUCUGGUGGCCUUUCCCUCCUGAAGCUGGGGAAAUAUUUCCUCCCCCUCCAACCCAUUUACCACCCGCUCCAUAUAACCGCCUUGAAGACCUCUUUGGGCUUGAAGAAUAACUUAAGACAGUUUUCCUAUUGAGUGCUGAACAUUUGCCUCCCCCUCCCCCUCCAGCCUGUCACUCUUUCCGGGCUUGUGACUGCUUCAGAAUUGUGAACUUCAAAUUUCCCCACUGUUUUGUUGAUCCUGGGCUUUUGAUUCAAGGGCCUGUCUGGCAGGAGAUGGCCUAAGCACAUCAGCAAUAGCAGAUGACAAAUGCCAAAACAGAAAGAAAAUAGGAUACAAAUGAUUUCCUCCUACAUAUUUACAUUUACCUGCUCCAGAGAUUGUGCAUUUGGGGUUCUACCCGUUAUUAAGUAGGAGCCUACGUUAUGCCUAUAAUGACCUCAUCAUGCUGCGUGAUUAUGGGCUGCAGCCGCCAAACACUUUCAGACGACACUGUGAACUUUAAAUUGGCACUCCAAUCUCCCAGUGGCCUGUCAGUCAUGAGAAUCGCGUCUUUAUGCCAGCAAGCCCCUUGGAUGGAGUCUGACAUUGCAAUCUUCAGUAAAUUACCCUGUCACUGACAAUCUUGCAGUUAUCUCGCAAACAAUCAAGCAGGCAAUCAAACUGUUCUGAAUUGCCAGUUCAGGACCUGAGAGGUGGCCGAUGUCUCCAUUCAACAGCAGAGGGAAAGCGGCCUGGCCCUCCUAUGACAAUGGACGAUUUCUUUAUUUAUUUAUCUACCUACUUAUUUGUUAGUCUGGUUGGCUUUUUCCUGGGGAAGGGGGUGAGGAUGGUAGGAGAGGUUUGCAGAGUCCUCAAAAAGGGCCCAAUACUGACUCAGCGGUUAUGGGAAAGCGACUUAGGCCUUCUGAAUCAGCCCACACUGCGGUGGCUCAUGUCUGCUUAAUCUUACUUCACUCAGUGAAACGGGGCCAAAAAGAAUUAUCUAGGUGUUUUCUGUCAGAACGGACGCUAAAUCACAGCUCUGGUUCUAGUCUACUCAUACACGUCAUAAGCUAAUUGUAAUGACAAUUUCAGAGAAAUGUGAUCAUGGAGAAACUUUCUGGGAAUGAUACCAAGGCAUUCUAUUUAUUGCUUUUGAUAAAGCAAAUCAGAGAGAUUCUUCCAUAACAGUUCUGGCAACGUGAAACAGGUUCAUUAAUGCUGAAUUGAAACCUUUGGAUUAGAAGUCCCAAGGUAAAAAGCCAAAAAUUCUACACAGCAUCAGAGGUGACAGCCUGGCCUCUGGAAUCAGAUGGAUUUGGGUUUGAAGCUCGUCUCUGCUAGUUCCCUGGCUGUGUGAGCUUGGAAAGGAGGGGUGACGCUUCCUUCCCCAAGGAAGUCUGAAGACAAGGCAGUGGACACCCAUCAACAGGGGAAAGAGAAAAUGAAUGAAUGGGAGCUCUGUAAACCACAUCAGCAACCUCGAAAAUGUCCAACUGCAAAGACCCAUGUCUACAAAUUGCUGUCAGCCAGAGGAAUGGCUGUAACUUCCUUGGUGCCGAGAGAUGGGAUUUCACUAUGUUGGCCAGACUGGUCUCGAACUCCUGACCUCGUGAUCCGCCCGCCUUGGCCUCCUGAAGUGCUGGAACUAUAGGCGUGAGCCACCGUGCCCGGUCAAGAUAAUUUCUUAUAGGACAACAGGACAGGAUCACCCAGGAAAAGAUGGACUCCCUGCUCAGUUCCUACUUACAGUAUCUGAGUCACUUAACUAAAUGCAAUCGGCCCAGCUGCAGGCACCACUGCUCGGGCCACUAUAAGAACCAGCCCCUGAGCUUCCGGACAGGAAACAGCAUCUGCAUUUCCAGACUGUAGCAGCUCAUCAUGCCAGGCUCCACAGGCAAGAAUCAAGCAGAUGGAAGCUACAGAGGAAACAAACAGGGUU